rnacentral:rRNA from 1 species
AUUGAACGCUGGCGGCAUGCUUUACACAUGCAAGUCGAACGGUAACAGGCCGCAAGGUGCUGACGAGUGGCGAACGGGUGAGUAAUGCAUCGGAACGUGCCCAGUCGUGGGGGAUAACGCAGCGAAAGCUGCGCUAAUACCGCAUACGAUCUAUGGAUGAAAGCGGGGGACCGUAAGGCCUCGCGCGAUUGGAGCGGCCGAUGUCAGAUUAGGUAGUUGGUGGGGUAAAGGCUCACCCAGCCAACGAUAUGUAGCUGGUCUGAGAGGACGACCCACCAAACUGGGCCUGAGACACGGCCCAGACUACUACGGGAGGCAGCAGUGGGGAAUUUUGGACAAUGGGCGCAAGCCUGAUCCAGCAAUGCCGCGUGCAGGAAGAAGGCCUUCGGGUUGUAAACUGCUUAUGUACGGAACGAAACGGUCCUGGUUAAUACCUGGGGCUAAUGACGGUACCGUAAGAAUAAGCACCGGCUAACUACGUGCCAGCAGCCGCAGUAAAAC